rnacentral:rRNA from 1 species
GAUGAACGCUGGCGGCGUGCCUAAUACAUGCAAGUAGAACGCUGAAGCUUGGUGCUUGCACCGAGCGGAUGAGUUGCGAACGGGUGAGUAACGCGUAGGUAACCUGCCUCUUAGCGGGGGAUAACUAUUGGAAACGAUAGCUAAUACCGCAUAAAAGUCGACAUCGCAUGAUGUUGACUUGAAAGGUGCAAUUGCAUCACUAAGAGAUGGACCUGCGUUGUAUUAGCUAGUUGGUGAGGUAACGGCUCACCAAGGCGACGAUACAUAGCCGACCUGAGAGGGUGAUCGGCCACACUGGGACUGAGACACGGCCCAGACUCCUACGGGAGGCAGCAGUAGGGAAUCUUCGGCAAUGGGGGCAACCCUGACCGACGCAACGCCGCGUGAGUGAAGAAGGUUUUCGGAUCGUAAAGCUCUGUUGUAAGAGAAGAACG